UGUUUAAUUUGAAAGUGUGAUAGUGUGGAAAUGGACAAUGUGUAAAUAUUCGACAAUGUGGAAAUUAUAAUGGUCUAAUCUCGUGGUUUAUGUUCUAAAAACUGUAAAUACUGUGAUGGAAUAUUUAAAGAACUUGGUGAGAAAAGAAAAUUGUUCAAUUGCCAUUAAUAAAUUUUUAAUAAUUUGUAAUGAAAUGACAACACUCGUUUCAUUAGAAUCCAUUGUGCAUUGUGUUUUCAUGUGAAAAUGGUAAAGGAAGUUUUGACUCUAGUCUUCUUAAAUAUGAAAAAAUUCAUCCAAUAUACCUGUCAUUGCCAACGUACACAGGCAGCCAUAAGAUGUUAUGCAGAUGCACGACCAUUAACUUUAAAGCUAUUCUAUUUUAUCAUCUUUAAACGUAUGAAACGAAGCAAGAAAUUUGGUUACCAGAUAUAGGAACUUUUGAUCCUUCGAAGAAUUUAAAGUUGUGAAUAUUAAUUUAGAUAAAAAUGAUUUGAGCAUAUCAAAAGAACAUUAACAUUAACGUAUUACGUAACAGGAUGAACAAGAUAAAAUAGUAAGCAUUGAUUUCGAUAAUCUAAUUACGGAUGAUGGAGAUACACAUUUCGAGAUGGUACUUUAACAAUUGAAAGUUUAGAUGGAAAUAAAUUAUAUUUAGAUUCAACGACUCAAUUUAGAAUGUGUGGAAAUGGACAAUGUGUAAAUAUUCGACAAUGUGGAAAUUAUAAUGGUCUAAUCUCGUGGUUUAUGUUCUAAAAACUGUAAAUACUGUGAUGGAAUAUUUAAAGAACUUGGUGAGAAAAGAAAAUUGUUCAAUUGCCAUUAAUAAAUUUUUAAUAAUUUGUAAUGAAAUGACAACACUCGUUUCAUUAGAAUCCAUUGUGCAUUGUGUUUUCAUGUGAAAAUGGUAAAGGAAGUUUUGACUCUAGUCUUCUUAAAUAUGAAAAAAUUCAUCCAAUAUACCUGUCAUUGCCAACGUACACAGGCAGCCAUAAGAUGUUAUGCAGAUGCACGACCAUUAACUUUAAAGCUAUUCUAUUUUAUCAUCUUUAAACGUAUGAAACGAAGCAAGAAAUUUGGUUACCAGAUAUAGGAACUUUUGAUCCUUCGAAUUUAAAGUUGUGAAUAUUAAUUUAGAUAAAAAUGAUUUGAGCAUAUCAAAAGAACAUUAACAUUAACGUAUUACGUAACAGGAUGAACAAGAUAAAAUAGUAAGCAUUGAUUUCGAUAAUCUAAUUACGGAUGAUGGAGAUACACAUUUCGAGAUGGUACUUUAACAAUUGAAAGUUUAGAUGGAAAUAAAUUAUAUUUAGAUUCAACGACUCAAUUUAGAAUGUGUGGAAAUGGACAAUGUGUAAAUAUUCGACAAUGUGGAAAUUAUAAUGGUCUAAUCUCGUGGUUUAUGUUCUAAAAACUGUAAAUACUGUGAUGGAAUAUUUAAAGAACUUGGUGAGAAAAGAAAAUUGUUCAAUUGCCGUUAAUAAAUUUUUAAUAAUUUGUAAUGAAAUGACAACACUCGUUUCAUUAGAAUCCAUUGUGCAUUGUGUUUUCAUGUGAAAAUGGUAAAGGAAGUUUUGACUCUAGUCUUCUUAAAUAUGAAAAAAUUCAUCCAAUAUACCUGUCAUUGCCAACGUACACAGGCAGCCAUAAGAUGUUAUGCAGAUGCACGACCAUUAACUUUAAAGCUAUUCUAUUUUAUCAUCUUUAAACGUAUGAAACGAAGCAGAAAAUUUGGUUACCAGAUAUAGGAACUUUUGAUCCUUCGAAGAAUUUAAAGUUGUGAAUAUUAAUUUAGAUAAAAAUGAUUUGAGCAUAUCAAAAGAACAUUAUCAUUAACGUAUUACGUAACAGGAUGAACAAGAUAAAGUAGUAAGCAUUGAUUUCGAUAAUCUAAUUACGGAUGAUGGAGAUACACAUUUCGAGAUGGUACUUUAACAAUUGAAAGUUUAGAUGGAAAUAAAUUAUAUUUAGAUUCAACGACUCAAUUUAGAAUGUGUGGAAAUGGACAAUGUGUAAAUAUUCGACAAUGUGGAAAUUAUAAUGGUCUAAUCUCGUGGUUUAUGUUCUAAAAACUGUAAAUACUGUGAUGGAAUAUUUAAAGAACUUGGUGAGAAAAGAAAAUUGUUCAAUUGCCGUUAAUAAAUUUUUAAUAAUUUGUAAUGAAAUGACAACACUCGUUUCAUUAGAAUCCAUUGUGCAUUGUGUUUUCAUGUGAAAAUGGUAAAGGAAGUUUUGACUCUAGUCUUCUUAAAUAUGAAAAAAUUCAUCCAAUAUACCUGUCAUUGCCAACGUACACAGGCAGCCAUAAGAUGUUAUGCAGAUGCACGACCAUUAACUUUAAAGCUAUUCUAUUUUAUCAUCUUUAAACGUAUGAAACGAAGCAGAAAAUUUGGUUACCAGAUAUAGGAACUUUUGAUCCUUCGAAGAAUUUAAAGUUGUGAAUAUUAAUUUAGAUAAAAAUGAUUUGAGCAUAUCAAAAGAACAUUAACAUUAACGUAUUACGUAACAGGAUGAACAAGAUAAAAUAGUAAGCAUUGAUUUCUAUAAUCUAAUUACGGAUGAUGGAGAUACACAUUUCGAGAUGGUACUUUAACAAUUGAAAGUUUAGAUGGAAAUAAAUUAUAUUUAGAUUCAACGACUCAAUUUAGAAUGUGUAUGUAUACAAUUUUACCACAUAGUAUCGUUGAAAAUUUUGAAUCGGAUGUGAUCGUUCCUUAUUAGAGGAGAAUAUGAUAUCUCUCUAAUAUAUUUUUAUAUAUUUAAAAUAUAUUCAAUGAUAGGCAAUGAUAGAGAUUGGCAUGGUGAAAUUAGAUAGAAGUUUGAAAAUGAUAAGCGAUAUGUAAUUGAACAAACGAAUCAUAGAAAAAAAUUGAAGAUAAAUUUAUGAUUAAAUUUAUGAAAAUAAAUAUAAAUCUGAUGAUAUCUUCGUUAAUAGUAUUCCUAUGUAUUUAGAAGCUGUGUAUUGAAAAAAAAAAAAAAAAAAUAAAAAGAAGAAAAGAAAAAGGAAAUGCUAUGUAGUACUAGCAAUUUGAAAAAUGAUUUGAUAGGCACGAGGUAAAAGAGAUCAAAAAACUGAAAGAACUGAUUGAAACGAAUGUAUAUGUACAUAUAAACAUAAAUAUGCAUAAACGGGUAAUAUACAGUAAAA
rnacentral:lncRNA from 1 species